GGGGGGGGGGGGGGGGACCCCGCAAUACAUAUGACAGUAUUAUGCAACAUGAGAAAAGUUCUCCUUCUUCCUCGUGGAUCACCUUUACAAGACAAUUUGGUAAAUUACUGUUCUCACAAGACAGCUAAAGGUCAUAUUACCAUAGCUCUUUUCUUAAAGCACCCCUACUAUGCUUUUUCAGAUAUUAACUUUCAUGUAGUGUGUUAUGUAGUUGCUUGUGAAUGUAAGAAGUCUGAGAAGUUUCAAAAAUCAAAGUGAACGACAAAUUUGAAAAAAAAAAUUUCUUUAAUUGACUCCCAAAAGAAGGAACCGAUUGUGAACAGCUAAAACGAGUCGUUAGUAAUUCCAGACUCUCUCUGGCCCACCUCUGGUCUUCACUGGCUGCUUGCGAACAGCGUGUACUUUGACCCAACCUCAAACACUACAGCUGAGGUUGCGUCCUGAGAGAUUUAGGUUCAUGUCUAGAAAACGUUUUCUGUGCUGCAAAGCAAAACCACUUUGCAUGGACUAUCAAACGAUGAGGAUGUAAAGCAUCAGUGGUUAGAAUUCAUUUUAAACGGAUACCACAGCAGUUCAACUCCGACCUUCGUCUGUGUUUCCAUCAUUUCACUGACGAAUGCUUCUCAAAUCCAGCUGAAGUAAACGCAGGAUUUGAGAGGUGUUUAAUCAUUAAAGACGAGGCUGUUCCCACUUUAUUUGGACCAUCUUGUGCCUCAGGAUCACAACCUGCAAGUCUUCCUUUCUCUCCAAUGAGAUUUGAUGAUGCAGUGCAGGUUCUCUUCAAUCACAAACCUCUCUACAGAGUGACUGCCAGGCAUGACAGGGCCCUGAGAGCAAAACACCUCAAUCACACAUGCAACACACUUACAGAGUACGUGGAAAGAGAUGAAAAGGCCCUUCCCGACAUAAGAAGUGUGCAAGAGCUGCUGACAUUUCUAGCGUUAGAUGGACGAGACUGUACCUCAGGAGCAUCGGUGUAGUCGAACAUGCGG